AAGCCAGUGAGGAUUUCUUUUAUUUAGUUGGAAUUACCGGUUUAAUUUCAUUUGAUGUCAAUUCUAAAGUGGCUAUAUGAGGCUUCAU
rnacentral:snoRNA from 9 species